UACGUAGGGACCAAGCGUUGUCCGGAGUUACUGGGCGUAAAGCGCGCGCAGGCGGCGGUGCUGGCCCGGCGUGAAAGCCCCCGGCUCAACCGGGGAGGGUCGUCGGGGACCGCACCGCUUGAGGGCGGUAGGGGCUGGUGGAAUGCCUGGUGUAGUGGUGAAAUGCGUAGAGAUCAGGCGGAACACCCGUGGCGAAGGCGGCCAGCUGGGCCGUCCCUGACGCUGAGGCGCGAAGGCGUGGGGAGCGAACGGG
rnacentral:rRNA from 1 species